rnacentral:rRNA from 1 species
AUGCACGCUGGCGGCGUGCCUAAUACAUGCAGGUCGAGCGAACAGACGAGGAGCUUGCUCCUCUGACGUUAGCGGCGGACGGGUGAGUAACACGUGGAUAACCUACCUAUAAGACUGGGAUAACUUCGGGAAACCGGAGCUAAUACCGGAUAAUAUAUUGAACCGCAUGGUUCAAUAGUGAAAGACGGUUUUGCUGUCACUUAUAGAUGGAUCCGCGCCGCAUUAGCUAGUUGGUAAGGUAACGGCUUACCAAGGCAACGAUGCGUAGCCUACCUGAGAGGGUGAUCGGCCACACUGGAACUGAGACACGGUCCAGACUCCUACGGGAGGCAGCAGUAGGGAAUCUUCCGCAAUGGGCGAAAGCCUGACGGAGCAACGCCGCGUGAGUGAUGAAGGUCUUCGGAUCGUAAAACUCUGUUAUUAGGGAAGAACAAAUGUGUAAGUAACUAUGCACGUCUUGACGGUACCUAAUCAGAAAGCCACGGCUAACUACGUG